rnacentral:rRNA from 1 species
UACAGAGGGUGCAAGCGUUAAUCGGAAUUACUGGGCGUAAAGCGCACGUAGGUGGCUUGAUAAGUUGGGUGUGAAAUCCCCGGGCUUAACCUGGGAAUUGCAUUCAAGACUGUCUUGCUAGAGUGUGGAAGAGGGAAGCGGAAUUCCAGGUGUAGCGGUGAAAUGCGUAGAUAUCUGGAGGAACACCAGAGGCGAAGGCGGCGACCUGGACAGGUACUGACACUCAACUACGAAAGCGUGGGGAGCAAACAGG